rnacentral:rRNA from 1 species
CCUACGGGUGGCAGCAGUGAGGAAUAUUGGUCAAUGGACGAGAGUCUGAACCAGCCAAGUAGCGUGAAGGAUGACUGCCCUAUGGGUUGUAAACUUCUUUUAUAUGGGAAUAAAAUGUUCCACGUGUGGGAUUUUGUAUGUACCAUAUGAAUAAGGAUCGGCGAACUCCGUGCCAGCAGCCGCGGUAAUACUGAGGAUCCGAGCGUUAUCCGGAUUUAUUGGGUUUAAAGGGAGCGUAGGUGGAUUGUUAAGUCAGUUGUGAAAGUUUGCGGCUCAACCGUAAAAUUGCAGUUGAAACUGGCAGUCUUGAGUACAGUAGAGGUGGGCGGAAUUCGUGGUGUAGCGGUGAAAUGCUUAGAUAUCACGAAGAACUCCGAUUGCGAAGGCAGUUCACUGGACUGCAACUGACACUGAGGCUCGAAAGUGUGGGUAUCAAACAGGAUUAGAUACCCUAGUAGUC